CACUGGGGCAGAGGCAUUUUUAAUGAGCUCCACCACCCCCAGCGGCAGCCUGGAGAAGAGGCAGCUUUACUCCCAGACACUGUUAGUCACCUCGGACCCAGGUCCAGGACACACCCGGGAGGCAACUCAUGAUGAUUCAGGUUCAAGUGCUUUGUCAUGUGGUCGUGCAUACACUCCAGGCCCCCUCCUUGUCCCUCUCAAAGCCCACCUUCUCCCUGCCUGGCUGGCUUCAGGACUAGGCCAGAGCAGAAGGGCAGGUAGACGGCAGGAUGAAUAAAAGAAAGUUGUUCUCUCAGGUGACUCUGUUCCUCAUGGCCACGUGCACUCACUUCUCAGAACUUGUACCAAAUCUCUUCAUUUCUAUCUGUUGGGCACCUUCUGGCAUGAGUCCCUCAGGGCUAGGUGAACAGGCUGCCCCAGGGUAACAGGAUCCAUGACUAGCAUUGCUGUGUUAAAUUAGCCAAAAGGAACCAAAAAUGGGUUCUGAGCACCUACAGAUUUUAUCUAUUUGAGGAGAAAAAAAUGUGUUAUACAAAUCAAUUCAGUCUUUGACAGGUGUAGAAAUUAAAGUCCAGAGAGGUUAAAUGAGUUACCCAAAGGCACACAGCAGAAAAUGGUAGAGUUGGAAUUAGGAGUCUCAUUUCAGACCACAGAAGCCAGUCCACUGUGAGGACAGGGACUAGCACUGACUCACUCUUCGGAAUUCCGGUUCCCUUCACCUUGGUUCAACCACCACACCAGCAAAAAAGCAGUGCCAAAGAAAUAUGAGAGCUUCAGGGUCCAAGAGGUCUGGUGUGCACACUCCCAGGCCCAGGGUCCUGCAGAGGCCCCCCAAAGCCGGGGUGGCCUGCAGGCAGUGAGGAGUGUGCCAGGGGAGAAGCUCCUCCUGGCUUCUGCCCACUCUGUGUGAGGCUGGGGAGGGGGUUACGUAUACGGUCAGGGCCCUUCUUUCUCUGCCUCACUCCAUAACCUGGUUCUUUCUGCACUUCUGCACCGGCCGGGGCCAGGCCACGCCCACAGGCCCGCCAUGACCCUUUUCCACACAGUUGCGAUCUGGUGGGAGUAAUACAACAUCUGUGCACAAGGAAACAGCCCCUGGACGGCCAGGGUCCCAUCACCCCACCAUGGACAUUGGGGCUGGGUAAUUCUUUAUUGUGGGGCCGUCCUGUGCCCUGUAGGAUGUUUAUCAGCAUCCCUGUCCUCCACCCACUAGAUGAGGGAGCUCACACACCCCAAGUGCUAACAAUUGAAUGCGGCUCCAGACAUCCUCAAAUAUCUCCUGGGGAGACAUUUGUGCCCCUGGCUGAGAAGCAGUGGUGUAAGGAAUAUAAAUACUGGCGAAUAAGGCCGAGGAGAGGGAGCACGAUGAACAAGUGUGGCUCCUGGGCCCCAGGGGAUGGAAAGCCCGUGCCGGGUUCUCCCGCCUCAGUUUCCCCCGCGAUGGUGCCUAAGAGACCCUGUGCUCCGCAGGAAAACCAGAUCCCCCCGGAACCGCGAGGAGCAAAAUGCCCUCAAACGCGCGCAGAGCAAGGGAUGGGCGUCUGCGGGGUGAGCGCCGUCUGGGACCGGGCUAGAGGCUGGCCUGUCGUGACCAGUGGAAAUGGGCAGAUGGGAGAAGGGACGCAUUGCUGAUGGCGGUGGGGGAAGCCUGAAGGACGACCUGGAGGAGGCGAAGCCCAGCUGUUGACAGCGGCUGUGCUGGAACAGCCGCGCUGUGCACAGAAGGGGGACGAAGUGUGCAGCGGGCAGGUCGCCGCCUGAUCACGGAGGCCGAGAGGCGCGCGGGAGCCAGGGCGACGGGGUGGCCGCAGGACAGAUUAGGAAAGUGGUCUUUAAGAAUUCAUGGGUUUGGGGGCUGGCCCCGCGGCCGAGUGGUUGGGUUCGCGCGCUCCGCUGCAGGCGGCCCAGUGUUUCGUUGGUUCGAAUCCUGGGCGCGGACAUGGCACUGCUCAUCAGACCACGCUGAGGCGGCGUCCCACAUGCCACAACUAGAGGAACCUACAACGAAGAAUACACAACUAUGUACCGGGGGGCUUUGCGGAGAAAAAGGAAAAUAAAAUAAAAUAAAAUAAAAAGAAUUCAUGGGUUUGUUAAGUAAAAGAAACCAGGCCGUAGAGAGUGCAUGCUGAAUGAUGGCAUUUUUAUAAAGUACCAAACAGUCACACAUCCCUCUCGCCCUAGAAUUCGAGACAGUCCCUACCCUCAGAGGGCGGGGCUAGUAACCGAGAAGAGCACCUGGAAAGUUUGGGGGCCGUGGGCUACAGGACGAUGUGGAUCUGUAAGAGUUACUCACACUGACCCAAGAGUCGAGCGGAGGACGCUGGCUGACUCAGCCUUGAGAACAUUCAGUUCUGGACACUGAGGGCACCAGUAGAUGGAACUCCUUCUCUCAGCCACGCGCUCCCUGGGUCUGGAAGCCUGGUCCCCAGUCAGCAGCCACAGCCUCGCCCGGGAACUUAUUAGAGAGGCAAAUUCUCGGCCGCCCCUGACCUGUGAAUUAGGAACUCGGGCAGUGGAGCCCAGCACCUGUGUUUUAACAAGUCCUCCAGGUGGUUCUGAUGCACAUUAAAGUGAGAACCACUGCGCUGGCUCAAUUUCGAACUAAAGAAUAUGCAAAAGAAUACUCAGGUGAAGGCCAUAGACCCCGUUCAUCCGAGAUAAAGCUGGUCCUGGGGCAUGGGGGCUCACGACUGCGCCAACUGGGCUUCCCGAUGAUGAACUCCAGAUUAGACAGACUUACCCUCUCUCGGGGAAGCCGGGGCCUGCCUCCCUAAAACUAGGGCGUGGAGGAGCAGACAUAACGUGUGCUUCUUGAGGACAGCCAGCCCCCUACAGGAAAAGAGGAGAAAAGGACUGGGUACACAGCUCCUCUCCAAACUCACCAGUCAGGCACUCAUCCCACCUGCCCAGAAAGGGUUGAGGGUGGGCCAAGAGGGCGGGGGCGCUGUGCUAGAGUUGUGUCUAUGCUGAAGGAGGGAAGUGUUCCUCCCGGUGUGUCCUUAAGUGUGGAUGUGGGUAAUUAGUGGUUGGAAGUGAUCUGCUCUUCUCCCUUUGGGUUGCUGUGCCACUGUCAGUUUUGCCUGACCAGGACUGAAUCCAACAGUUCACAAGGGCCAGGCACACUCUUCAUGCCACUGCCCCAUCCGGUGGCUGUGGGUAGUCUGUGGAAAAAAGUGGCUUCUUGUUCUGAGGCUUCAGCUUCCCACCCAUGUGCCCCAAUGACAAGCAUACAUGGCAGACUCUCUGCCCUCUGCAGAAGAGACCCCACGAAGAAGUCUGGCCAACAGGAUGUGAAAAGUGAGAGCUGAAUAUGGCUGGGCGGUGCUUGACUUGCCGUGAUCUUAAUGCAUUUCUUAGCACCUGAAAAUAAAUGAUCUUCUUAACUCUCUUCUGCCCUCAAUUGCCCAUUUUUGCCAUCCCAUGACCUUCCUCUUUAGCAUUAAAAGUAUGCUACUCCCUUCCCUUUCUCAAAGGAGGAGAGACUCGAAGAACAGAAAGGAUCUUAGAAAUCACUUAGUCCAGACACCUGAUUUUCCAGCAGAUGAAUCAGAGGCCCAGAGGGUUAGAGUGACAUGUCCAGGGUCUAACCACUAAUUAGUGGCAGAGCCACGACCCACGCCCAGGUUUAACACCCACAGGCUGGAAAUCCUCAUCCUCCACAGCUCCAUAAGCAAGCUAUGAAUGGUGGGGAUCCAGCAUCAUCUAUCACGGGGCUUAUCUCUUAUCGCACUGUAACCAAAAGCAGCCGAUAAUUUGUCAUGGAUCAUUUUUAAUAAUUUCCCCCUGUAACACCAGUCGUGGCCAGACAAGUCUACAUGUAGAGAAGGUUUGUCUAGUGGUAUUGCACGAGAAUUUGCUGUGGAAGGCGGCAGCCCACACU
ensembl:lncRNA